CCUACGGGUGGCAGCAGUGAGGAAUAUUGGUCAAUGGGCGGGAGCCUGAACCAGCCAAGUCGCGUGAGGGAAGACGGUCCUACGGAUUGUAAACCUCUUUUGCCGGGGAGCAACGGGGUCCUUGCGAGGGCCCAAUGAGAGUACCCGGAGAAAAAGCAUCUGCUAACUCCGUGCCAGCAGCCGCGGUAAUACGGAGGAUGCGAGCGUUAUCCGGAUUUAUUGGGUUUAAAGGGUGCGUAGGCUGUGAGGUAAGUCAGCGGUGAAAUGCCCCCGCUCCACGGGGUGAAGUGCCAUUGAUACUGCCUUGCUGGAAUGCGGAUGCCGUGGGAGGAAUGUGUGGUGUAGCGGUGAAAUGCAUAGAUAUCACACAGAACACCGAUUGCGAAGGCAUCUCACGAAUCCGCGAUUGACGCUGAUGCACGAAAGCGUGGGUAUCAAACAGGAGUAGAUACCCUAGUAGUC
rnacentral:rRNA from 1 species